AGAACGAACGCUGGCGGCAGGUCUAGGCAUGCAAGUCGACGGAUGACAAGGGAGCUUGCUCCUGAAGUCAGUGGCGCACGAGUGAGUAACGCGUGGGAAACUGCCCUUCACUGGGGAAUAACGUUUGGAAACGAACGCUAAUACCGCAUACGCCCGCAAGGGGAAAGAUUUAUCGGUGAUGGAUGUGCCCGCGUUGGAUUAGCUAGUUGGUGGGGUAAUGGCCUACCAAGGCGAUGAUCCAUAGCUGGUCUGAGAGGACGAUCAGCCACGCUGGAACUGAGACACGGUCCAGACUCCUACGGGAGGCAGCAGCUAAGAAUAUUGGGCAAUGGAGGAAACUCUGACCCAGCCCAUGCCGCGUGAAUGAAGAAGGCCUUCGGGUUGUAAAGUUCUUUUAGUCAUGAAGAUGAUGACAGUAGUGACAGAAAAAGCACCGGCUAACUUCGUGCCAGCCGCUGC
rnacentral:rRNA from 1 species